UACGUAGGUGGCAAGCGUUAUCCAGAUUUACUGGGUGUAAAGGGCGUGUAGGCGGGUGUUCAAGUCGGAUGUGAAAAGGCAAGGCUCAACUUUGCUCGGUCAUCCGAAACUGGAUAUCUUGAGUGUCUGAGGGGAAAGCGGAAUUCCUGGUGGAGCGGUAAAACGCGUAGAGAUCAGGAGGAACACCGGUGGCGAAGGCGGCUUGCUGGACAGAUACUGACGCUGAGGCGCGAAAGCGUGGGGAGCAAACAGGAUUAGAUACCCGCGUA
rnacentral:rRNA from 1 species